rnacentral:lncRNA from 1 species
AACAGCCGGAGCUGCGCCCAUCUGAAGCCGGGAGCCAGGUGCUUCUUCCUGGUCUUCCAUGUGGGUGCAGGGCCCAAACACUUGGGCCAUCCUCCACUGCUUUCCCAGGCCACAGCAGAGAGCUGUAUUGAAAGUGGAGCAGCCAGGACCUGAACCAGUGCCCAUAUGGGAUGCCAGCACUGCAGGCAGCAGCUUUACUUGCUACGCCACAGCACCAGCCCCAGACCUGGACCUCUUAUUCGGAAGCGUUGAGCUCCACUAACUUUGCCUUUCUGGAGAUCAGAGGGUUUUCCUGAUGCUCAGCUCUUUGAUAGAGUUGCAUCCGGAGAUCCGAUGGCUUUGUCUACAGAAGGCAAAUCUUGAGAACUGCACUCUCUCAGCUGCAGGUGGCGCCCCACUUCUGCUCAUUUACUUGAAGUUCUAGUGUUCAUCCCACAAAGUGAGAAAUCAGGCCUGAAAAAUUACAAGCAAACCCUUACAACCUAGAGGAUGUGGCUUGCGCUUAAAGGACAAUUUUACAAGGGGUCUUGAAGUGACUUCUUCAUUCUGACCCCAGGUACCGACCUGUGCCUGCAGUUCUCUUUGGAGGCCAUGCUGUCUCAUGUCUGAGUUUCCGUGUGAGGAUUUGGCAGGUAGGUGACGCUUGUCCUUUGUCACUUUGGAUGUCACCUCCCCAGUAAAGUCUUUCUUGAGUGGCGUUUUUUAGUUUGGGUUGGGCACCUCUCCAUUGUAUUCUCACCACACCCUGUGCAUAGAUAGCACUUGGGUGGGGCUACAACAGAGUUUCACAUUUAUUUAGAGAAUUUCAAAUAUAGAAAAUUUAGCACAAAUGAUCUAAUAAUCCCCCAAUGUCAGUCUUGCUAAACUGUAUUUUUUUUUUCAUUUCCUUUUUCCAUUCACCCAAUUAGAUGGUGACACCAUGAGGAGAGGACCUGUAUUUUAUGACAUUUUGUCCCCAGACCCUGUGCCUGACAUAGAUAACUAAAAAAAAAAAAAAAAGGCCGGCGCCGCGGCUUACUAGGCUAAUCCUCCGCCUAGCGCGCCGGC